UACGUAGGCAGCAAGCGUUGUUCGGAGUUACUGGGCGUAAAGGGUGUGUAGGCGGUUCUUUAAGUUUGGGGUGAAAUCUCCCGGCUCAACUGGGAGGGUGCGCCGAAAACUGAAGGGCUAGAGUGCGGGAGAGGAGAGUGGAAUUCCUGGUGUAGCGGUGAAAUGCGUAGAUAUCAGGAGGAACACCGGUGGUGUAGACGGCUCUCUGGACCGUAACUGACGCUGAGACACGAAAGCGUGGGUAGCAAACAGG
rnacentral:rRNA from 1 species